UGGGGAAUAUUGCACAAUGGGGGAAACCCUGAUGCAGCGACGCCGCGUGAACGAAGAAGGUAUUCGUAUCGUAAAGUUCUGUCCUAUGGGAAGAUAAUGACAGUACCAUAGAAGAAAGCUCCGGCUAAAUACGUGCCAGCAGCCGCGGUAAUACGUAUGGAGCGAGCGUUGUCCGGAAUUAUUGGGCGUAAAGGGUACGCAGGCGGUUUAAUAAGUCGAAUGUUAAAGAUCGGGGCUCAACCCCGUAAAGCAUUGGAAACUGAUAAACUUGAGUAGUGGAGAGGAAAGUGGAAUUCCUAGUGUAGUGGUGAAAUGCGCAGAGAUAUGGAGGAACACCAGUGGCGAAGGCGACUUUCUGGUCUGUAACUGACGCUGAUGUGCGAAAGCGUGGGGAUCAAACAGG
rnacentral:rRNA from 1 species